UACAGAGGUCCCAAGCGUUGUUCGGAUUCACUGGGCGUAAAGGGUGCGUAGGUGGUGAGGUAAGUCGGAUGUGAAAUCUCGGAGCUCAACUCCGAAACUGCAUUGGAAACUACCUCGCUCGAGGGUUGGAGGGGGGACUGGAAUACUUGGUGUAGCAGUGAAAUGCGUAGAUAUCAAAGUGGAACACCAGUGGCGAAGGCGAGUCCCUGGACAACUCCUGACACUGAGGCACGAAAGCUAGGGGAGCAAACAGG
rnacentral:rRNA from 1 species